AAAAAAAUCGCGUCGAUUGCACGCAAACCAGCCCUCUCAAUAAUUCAUUUCCGAUCCAAUUUAACUUGGUUUUGGCACGUUCCUGUCGCGUAAACACAUCGGCACGUCGAACCGGUCGAUUUCAGAAAAUUUUCAGCCACAUUUUACGCUGGUUGAGCUUCUCCGAGCAGCUCUUAAGCAAGGGCGGCGUUCUAUUUUAAUCCAUGCUAAAAUAAACCAGAAAUUUAUCAAGAAUCUUUAAUAUCAACACACAAGUCCAAGAUGGAUCCCGGUGCAGAUUGCUCGAUUUCGUGCGCUCUUAACGAAACGAGAUCGGCAUAAGUCUUUUAACGCCGUGCAUUAUGUAUGUACGCACGGGGGCGGCGGAUUUAACUGCCACGGACAGGUGUGAGUGAUGAGGGCAGGAAUUUAUUAAAACCGAAAUGGCCAUCGGCCAGUGCAAUUAAAAUGCGUGUUGGCGCUGUCGAAAUCCGUUCAUUAAAAAAUGGCAGGGCAACGACGGGCCAAGGUUAUAAAUAGCAGAGGAGCGGAAGUUGCGACCGAGGAUGAAAGAUUGGCGAAUUCGCACCAUGCAGAAUACGAAAAUGCUCCUUCUCCAACCCUCCAGGACCAGGACCAACAACCACCAACUAAGGACAAGGACCAAGAUGAAGACCCGAAGACACCAAGUAGCCAUAAUAGAAUGCAAUGUAUAUUUAUUUAAACAAAAAUUUAUUAUAUUAUAUUAUAAUUAAGUCCACCGCUGAAAAGGCCCUAAGCGCCCCCAUUGUAACUGUAGCUUGAAUAAAUGUAUUUUGAUUGAUUCA